rnacentral:rRNA from 1 species
GAUGAACGCUGGCGGCGUGCCUAAUACAUGCAAGUCGAGCGAACAGACGAGGAGCUUGCUCCUCUGACGUUAGCGGCGGACGGGUGAGUAACACGUGGAUAACCUACCUAUAAGACUGGGAUAACUUCGGGAAACCGGAGCUAAUACCGGAUAAUAUAUUGAACCGCAUGGUUCAAUAGUGAAAGACGGUUUUGCUGUCACUUAUAGAUGGAUCCGCGCCGCAUUAGCUAGUUGGUAAGGUAACGGCUUACCAAGGCAACGAUGCGUAGCCGACCUGAGAGGUGGAUCGGCCAACUGGGAACGGGAACACGGUCCAGACUCCUACGGGAGGCAGCAGAAGGGAAUCUUCCGCAAGGGGGGAAGGCUGGACGGGGCAACGCGGCGGGAGUGAUGAAGGUCUUCGGAUCGUAAAACUCUGUUAUUAGGGAAGAACAAAUUUGUAAGUAACGAUGCACGUUUGGACGGUACCUAAGCAGAAAGCAACGGCUAACUACGU